UACGUAGGGGGCAAGCGUUGUCCGGAUUUACUGGGCGUAAAGAGCGUGUAGGCGGCCGCGCAGGUCCGUUGUGAAAACUCGAGGCUCAACCUCGAGACGCCGAUGGAAACCAUCUGGCUAGAGUCCGGAAGAGGAGAAUGGAAUUCCCGGUGUAGCGGUGAAAUGCGCAGAUAUCGGGAAGAACACCCGUGGCGAAGGCGGUUCUCUGGGACGGUACUGACGCUGAGACGCGAAAGCGUGGGGAGCGAACAGG
rnacentral:rRNA from 1 species